UAGGGAAUCUUCCACAAUGGACGAAAGUCUGAUGGAGUAACGCCGCGUGAGUGAAGAAGGGUUUCGGCUCGUAAAACUCUGUUGUUAAAGAAGAACAUAUCUGAGAGUAACUGUUCAGGUAUUGACGGUAUUUAACCAGAAAGCCACGGCUAACUACGUGCCA
rnacentral:rRNA from 1 species